AUGUGUGAGGUGGCUGCUUCUCUUGUUCCUGUUUUGGAAAUUGAUAUGUCCACUAUUCUGAAAGAGAUAAUCAGGGCUAAAGUGGGAGUCAGAGACUUUGGAAAAAUCCCCCAUCAUACUGAGAUUACUGACAAGGACCUGAUCAUAUAUAGAAUCAACAUUGAGUUGGAAGAGGUGAUCGAACAAGGGUGGUAUGAAGAAAAAAGAAAGUUUGAGAACAUGGAAACUGAACUUGAUGGAACAACUAUGGGAGGUCAGAAAAAAAUCAAGAUUGGUGAGUUGGGAGCUGAUGGGAUCAAGGAAAACAUCUCCAUGGGAAGUGUAGGACUCAAAAAAUUUGAGGAGAUGCAACAAAAAAAUGAGGAGAUAUUGAAGAUGCGGAAAGAUUACUUGCUAGAGGUGGGCUUGAGAAAGAAAGUAGAGGUGGAGCUGGAUAAAGUUCUCAAAAAGUUUCAAGAAGUUGAAGAAAUCAAGUGCAGGAAUGAUGCUUGGAAAGCUGUGGACAAAAAAAAGACUGCUAUUUGGGAAACUGAGAAGAGGAGUCUGCAGGAUAUGAUCCAAGGUCAGCAAGAGUUGAUAAACAAGUGCAGGGAAAAAAUUGAUGCUUGGAAAGAGAAAGAGAUCUAUGGAGAAGAUUUAGGUGAGAAAAAUGAGAUGGAAUCUAAAAUAUCCCAGGAUAACACACCUGAAGAUGCUUAUGUAGAACCUGUGAAUUACUCAGCUAGUCAAGAUUCAGUGGAAUCUCUAGGCACAAAAUUAGGAAUUCACAAGAAGGAGGAGGGAGACAAGGAUAAAUAUAAAGAGGGACCUGCUAGAAGAAGUGAUAGAAACCUGGAUAAAAAAGAUGCUAAAAUAGAAGACCUGGCCAAGGAAAGGGCGGCUGAAAAAGACAAUUAUGAAAAGGUGCCCAGGGGAAAGAAUGUUGAUGCUGGGAGAAAAACUCAUCAUGCAAGUAGCAAGUGA
rnacentral:rRNA from 1 species